AUUGAACGCUGGCGGCAGGCCUAACACAUGCAAGUCGAGCGGAUGAAGGGAGCUUGCUCCUGGAUUCAGCGGAGGACGGGUGAGUAAUGCCUAGGAAUCUGCCUGGUAGUGGGGGAUAACGUCCGGAAACGGGCGCUAAUACCGCAUACGUCCUGAGGGAGAAAGUGGGGGAUCUUCGGACCUCACGCUAUCAGAUGAGCCUAGGUCGGAUUAGCUAGUUGGUGGGGUAAAGGCCUACCAAGGCGACGAUCCGUAACUGGUCUGAGAGGAUGAUCAGUCACACUGGAACUGAGACACGGUCCAGACUCCUACGGGAGGCAGCAGUGGGGAAUAUUGGACAAUGGGCGAAAGCCUGAUCCAGCCAUGCCGCGUGUUUGAAGAAGGUCUUCGGAUUGUAAAGCACUUUAAGUUGGGAGGAAGGGCAGUAAGUUAAUACCUUGCUGUUUUGACGUUACCAACAGAAUAAGCACCGGCUAACUUCGUG
rnacentral:rRNA from 1 species